UACGUAGGGUGCAAGCGUUAAUCGGAAUUACUGGGCGUAAAGUGUGCGCAGGCGGUUGUGCAAGACAGAUGUGAAAGCCCCGGGCUCAACCUGGGAACGGCAUUUGUGACUGCACGGCUAGAGUGUGUCAGAGGGGGGUAGAAUUCCACGUGUAGCAGUGAAAUGCGUAGAGAUGUGGAGGAAUACCGAUGGCGAAGGCAGCCCCCUGGGAUAACACUGACGCUCAUGCACGAAAGCGUGGGGAGCAAACAGG
rnacentral:rRNA from 1 species